rnacentral:lncRNA from 1 species
UCCACUAAGUAGAUGGGUCUCAAGCCAGCUUGUUAAGAACUACUCCACACAAGUUGAAUGAGACAGCUUAUGUCCCAUUAGUGAAAUUCUAAAAUGAAAUACAUAAAAUUUUUUUUUUUUUAAAUAACAAGACUGAAUUAAUUAAAAUAUACUACUUCACAUAUAUAUGCUUCAAAUAUGUUUUACAUAAAGUUUGACACCGUUAAGACUAGUGGCCUUGCC